rnacentral:antisense_RNA from 1 species
CCGACUGCUCUGAGGUCCAGCACCCCCGGCCACCCCAGGACUCCCAAAGAGGCUGCUAGGUCGGCCUGCCCAAAGAGCGGUGAGGAGCGUGUGUGAAGAGCCCCAGCCUUGAGGAGCAGCCUGGGUCUGGAGAGAGGGGAGCCCCGGACCAGAGGUGGGGGACAGGAAGCCAUCGCCCCACCCUGCCUCCUCCCCCGCCACAGGUGGCCCUCGCCCCGGCCCAUCCGCGCCUCCCAGGCCCAGCCUCACCUGCUGCCGAGAGAGGACCGUGACCCCCCAAAAGCCGGAGGUGGAGGAGGAGGAGGAAGAGGAGGAAGGAGCUGGAGGAGCCGGGGACUCGCCCGCUGAGGAUGCUCUUGUCAAGACAAUGAAUGAGAAGCAGCCGUGCGCCCGCCUCCGGGGUGGCCGCGCCCCUUGGGGCGGAGCUCUUUCAGGCCCGCCCUGCGCUCCCGGGCCCCCGCUGCGGCCGC